CCGACCUUAGCUCAGUUGGUAGAGCGGAGGAUUGUAGUAGGGAAAAUUCCUUGAAAGCCAUCCUUAGGUCGAUAGUUCGAAUCCGGCAGAUCGGA
rnacentral:tRNA from 1 species